rnacentral:rRNA from 1 species
GUGUCAGCAGCCGCGGUAAUACGGAGGGGGCGAGCGUUAUUCGGAAUUAUUGGGCGUAAAGGGCGCGUAGGCGGCUUUCUAAGUCAAAGGUGAAAUCCCUCGGCUCAACUGAGGAACUGCCUUUGAAACUGGAAGGCUUGAGGCCGGGAGGGGGUAGCGGAAUUCCCAGUGUAGCGGUGAAAUGCGUAGAUAUUGGGAGGAACACCAGUGGCGAAGGCGGCUACCUGGACCGGUUCUGACGCUGAUGCGCGAAAGCGUGGGUAGCAAACAGGAUUAGAAACCCUGGUAGUCC